GAUGAACGCUAGCGGCAGGCUUAAUACAUGCAAGUCGAGGGACAGCACAGGUAGCAAUACUGGGUGGUAACCGGCAAACGGGUGCGGAACACGUACACAACCUUCCUUUAAGUGGGGGAUAGCCCAGAGAAAUUUGGAUUAAUACCCCGUAAUAUAGUUGAAUGGCAUCAUUUGAUUAUUAUAGCUACGGCGCUUAAUGAUGGGUGUGCGGCUGAUUAGAUAGUUGGCGGGGUAACGGCCCACCAAGUCUACGAUCAGUAGCUGAUGUGAUGAGAUGGUCAGCCACAAGGUGUCUGCGGCACGGGCCCGACUCCGACGGAAGGCAGCAGUAAGGAAUAUUAGUCAAUGGACGCAAGUCUGAACCAGCCAUGCCGCGUGAAGGAUUAAGGUCCUCUGGAUUGUAAACUUCUUUUAUUUGGGAAGAAAAAGGGCCUUUCUACAUCAACUGACGGUACCAGAUGAAUAAGCACCGGCUAACUCCGUGCCAGCAGCCGCCGCCGUAA
rnacentral:rRNA from 1 species